rnacentral:rRNA from 1 species
AGGAUGAACGCUGGCGGCGUGCCUAACACAUGCAAGUCGAACGUCCUGUCUCGCAAGAGGCAGGGAGUGGCGGACGGGUGAGUACCACGUGGGUCAUCUACCGUGAGGUGAGGAAUACCGGCGAGAAAUCGCCGACAAGACCGCAUAGGCUCGAUGCAAGUCGAGCAAAGCUCUUUCGAGAGAGGGAGCGCCACACGAGGAGCCUGCGCCCGAUUAGCUAGCUGGUGGAGUAACGGUUCACCAGGGCGACGAUCGGUAGCUGGUCUGAGAGGACGAUCAGCCACACUGGGAUUGAGAACGGCCCAGACUCCUACGGGGGGCAGCAGUGAGGAAUUUUCGUCAAUGGGGGCAACCCUGAACGAGCAACGCCGCGUGCAGGAAGAAGGUUUUCGGAUCGUAAAACUGCUUUUCUCGGGGAAGAGAAACGGACGGUACCCGAGGAAUCAGCCCCGGCUAACUACGUGCCAGCAGCCGC